rnacentral:misc_RNA from 1 species
AAGUCGUAACAAGGUUUCCGUAGGUGAACCUGCGGAAGGAUCAUUAAUGAAUGUCUUCGGACACACACACCCCACACUUCUCCUGUGAACCGUAAACCCCAGCAACGUCCAUUGAAUGUUAAACUGUGUAAUGCAGGAAAAAAGUAAAUACAACUUUUAGCAACGGAUCUCUUGGCUCUC